CAGUAGCCGCGGUAAUACGUAGGUGGCAAGCGUUGUCCGGAACUAUUGGGCGUAAAGCGCGCGCAGGCGGAUCAGUUAGUCUGUCUUAAAAGUUCGGGGCUUAACCCCGUGAGGGGAUGGAAACUGCUGAUCUAGAGUAUCGGAGAGGAAAGUGGAAUUCCUAGUGUAGCAAUGAAAUGCGUGGAUGUUAGGAAGAACACCAGUGGCGAAGGCGACUUUCUGGACGAAAACUGACGCUGAGGCGCGAAAGCCAGGGGAGCGAACGGGAUUAGAUACCCGCGUAGUCCCUGUCUCUUAUACC
rnacentral:rRNA from 1 species